CCUCAUGAAUUAGGCAAGCUAGUUACCUCCGGUUUAUACCUCUGCACCCAGGCAAUGACAAGGUGUCCUUGGUGAAGAUCAGAAAUGGAACAGAGCUGCUCUCAGUCUGGCUUGCAGUCUGCUUUCCCCCACUGUGGUCCUUUGUGUGUUGCCUACAGACCAAGUCACACUCUCCUGAGUGACAAUGCCAGGAACCCAGCAGGUGCAUAGCUCAGCCUUUGGCAUAGGGCUGCCCACAUUCAGAGUACAUCUUCCCACAUCAGUGAAACCAUUCUGGAAGCACCCCGAGGACGUGUCUAGAGAAAGACAUACAUCGUGAACCUGCCUUUGCCCCAGGUGCUGAGCGCGAAGAUAAGGGAGCUGAAUAUUUUUUGCUGGAAAGAACUCUGAAUCUCAGAGCAGUAUGGAAUGUAAAAAGCAUCUAUGCAAUCAGCAACUCUUGUCUGGGGCUCUUGGUGGAGGCUGUCAGUGUGAGUCUAUUUGGGGACUUGACUGCAAUCUAGUUCAUAACUGUGGCCUGAUUUCCAAUCCAGGCUGACAACCUUUAAUCUGCAGGUUGGCAUUUGUCAGGAGAAAAUACAAAUGAGUCAUUUGAAAUCUACCAUUGUUUUUAGUAAUAACUGCCCAAAUAUGUGUUCUACUGAUGUCCUUUCUUAGUAUAUCAUGUGUAGAAAGGGAAAUUAUGCAACUAUUAAUAGAAUUAAAUAAACUUUCUCAAAAAUA